AAGUCGUAACAAGGUCUCCGUUGCUCACAGGCUGGGGCCCGCCAGAGGACCCAAACAAAACUCUUUGCAUUUUGAAUACAGUAUUCUGAGUGACAUGAUUAAAUAAAUCAAAACUUUCAACAACGGAUCUCUUGGCUCUG
rnacentral:misc_RNA from 1 species